rnacentral:rRNA from 1 species
UACGUAGGGUGCGAGCGUUGCCCGGAUUUAUUGGGCGUAAAGGGCGCGCAGGCGGCUACGCACGUCCGUUGUGAAAUCGCUCGGCUCAACUGGGCGGGGUCAGCGGAUACGGCGUGGCUGGAGCAAGCUAGGGGGCAAUGGAAUUCCCGGUGUAGUGGUGGAAUGCGUAGAUAUCGGUAGGAACACCAGUGGCGAAGGCGGUUGCCUGGAGCUUUGCUGACGCUGAGGCGCGAAAGCGUGGGGAGCGAUCCGG